AAUGACAUUGAUGAAUGUGUCAGAUACAGAGGAUUCCACUGAUGUCUCCUUUUGUGAUGGUGCCAUAAGUCUCUUCAUGAUAUGUGGUGAAUUUUAUUGACAUUCCUGGGAAAAUUCUUCUCUCCUUCAAUAACCACAUCUCAGAGGCAGCUGGAAGAUGGAAAUACCUUUCAACAGAAACAGAUGCUUGAGGCUUGAUACCUAGCAAAUGUUUUCAAAAACUUCUAAGAGAGAUGCUUGACAAAAUCUGCUGGAGAUUCAGCCACAAGCAGAACACCAGCUCUUUUGACCUGCUGUGAAAUGCCCAAUACCUGGCAGUCCUGUGCAGGCUGGCACUAGAAGGGAUCUCAUCAGCAGAGCAAACUUUGCUGGGACCAUUAUGAGUCAGGGACAUCCACAAGAAGCCUGAUGCCAAACCAGCUAUCGCAGGAGCCCAGCAGCAUACUACUACACACAGCUGUGGCUUUUGCAGUGUUCUUCUCUACGUCAGUCCUUCCUUCCCAGCAUACUGAUAACCCAUCUGAGAUAACUAAACAGAAGAACUUUCAAACUACUGACAUGAUCAUGGUUCUGGGGGCAGGAUUUUGUGCAAAGACUGAGUCUGAUCUGAUGCCAGUGAAGAACAGCAGGAACUACAGAAUAAUCAAUGAACUUUCACUAGGGUUUUGGCAGCAGAGUGUGAUUGCCAUCAAAUUUUUGACUUAAUAGCUUUGGAAGUAAUUAUAUCAUGCUCUGUACUGGACUACAAGCUGGGCAUGUUGACCUCAUCUAUAACUGUAGCGGAUAGUUUUCCAUAACUCCUCAUCCAAAUAAUGUAAUAUAUUACUUACUCAAAACUAAAUAAAAUGAAAUAAUUAGUUUAAAAGAGCCA
rnacentral:lncRNA from 1 species